AUCAGCCAAGUCAUUCCCUUGUAUGUUUCUCAGGAUGGUGGCUUGCAAUUCAUAUGUAUUACUUAUUUUUCAUCCAUAUGCAGAUAAAGAACGUGUUCAAUUGCUUCAAUAUGAUUUCAUCAGCUCUUGGUCCUGAUGAAUCACUAACCUAUGCUGAUCACCUCUUGGCCCCAUUGUAUAAAGUUUCUGAAGGAUUUGCUGGGAAAGUUGUUAGUGGUAUGUUAAUAUUCCUGUCUUGGUAUUGUUCAUUAUUUGUUUUCAGCAUAUCGGAGGUGUGUAGGCAAGUUCAGUGCUUGGGCUUGCCAUCUGUCUGAGUACCGUUCUUUUGUUGUGGUUUCAGAUGAAGUGAAGCAACUGGCCCAGGGGUCCAGAACAAGUUACGUGACCUGAUUGGUUCCGAGAAAUUUGUUGAAGUCUACAAGAGCGUUCGGAUGGGCCUGAAACAGAAGCGGGACGGUAGAAAGCAGGCACAGAAGAUUGUUGCAGCCGUGGACCCAGAACGCAAUGCCAAGCGAAAGCAGCGAAUGGCAGCCANNNNNNNNNNNNNNNNNNNNNNNNNNNNNNNNNNNNNNNNNNNNNNNNNNNNNNNNNNNNNNNNNNNNNNNNNNNNNNNNNNNNNNNNNNNNNNNNNNNNUUUAGUGAAGAAAGUUCUUCUUCAACAUAUGGAUGUUCUUAUCCAUAGUCUCCAUGAUUUGUUAAUCAUCGCAAAGAGCUCAACAGUACUCACGCCAUCACUAUGUAAUACUACUGUGCAGAAGCAAACUUGACCACUUCAAUAUACUAAAAUACUUCUUUCACUGUACUUGUUCAUGCACCGGGGAAUGUGAUCGUAUAUUUUUAAAAAGGGCAGACCUAGUGCUGGAGGCUCUCAUAUGAGUGGGAUCUGGGAAUGGUAAGCAAGGCAAGCCUCUCCGCAAAUGCGGAGAGGUUGCUUCGAACCCACAGUCUGGUGACUAAGUGAGACAGUUCUCACCCUGCACUAUGCCUGCCCUACUAUUGAAGAAAUCAAAUGCAUAGUUUAUUGUGAGUUUCACUCUACCCCCAAUUAAAUGCCUUGAAGGAAGAAGAUUAUUUGUAGCAUUCUAUUUAAUUGGUUAUGGAUGGUGAUUUCACAGUGAGUUUGCUUUGAACUAUUUGCUUGGUUAGUGCACAUUUUUUGGGCUAUGGACAAGCACAGUCUAUCAAAUGAGAGUGAUCUUAAAAAUUACCAAUAUGUGAGUCAUUUAAUUUAUUGUCCAUGAUAUAAAAUGUAUUUGUGGAUCUAAAACUGUUAAAAAGAAUCACACCGUGGAUAUUAGCCUUUUAUAAUGUUUUGUUCAUCUAUUAUGGUGGUUAAACAUCUCUUAUGAGAGACUCAGGACUUCAGUGACAUUUUUUAGAUGUAUCUGUUUUAUCAAGCAAGCGUAUAAAUUUUCUUAGACUCUUCAUUGCUUGGGCCGAUCCUCUCUUUAAAAUUUUUGUUCCACAUUGCGUCACAUUAAUCUCUUCGGACAUGUUUACAGCAUAUUUGGGAGCAUAUGCAUGAGACUUAAUAAGCUUGAAUGAAUUUCCUGCAUUCUUAAUAUAUACAGGAGAUCUGGUACAUGGCUUGGGCAACGUGAACUUAGGCUGUUCAAAUUAUUGCUAAAUUACAUCACAGAUCCCUCAGCUGCUGAUAACUUCAUAGACCUUAUUCUUCCAUUUUUCAGCAAGAAAGAUUUGAACUCCGGUAAGCCUUUUAUUGAUUAGCCUGCAUAUCAAAUUAUUGUUCUUUUUUUUUCUUUGCAAAUGCCCAACCUUGACAUGGUAUGGCCUUUUUGUCUCAUCUUUUAUAUCACAGACGAUUGUUUGGAAGCACUAUGUGUUGUGAGGGGAAUAAUUCAAAAUCUGAGAUGCAAAGUAUCUGAAAAAGUUCUAAAUGCACUGACCCAUUACUUGCAAUUGUUGGAUUGGAACUGCGACUAUGUAUCUGUGAUAUUUAUGCUGGGUUGUCAUUGAAUGAUCCUUCGAUGUUGUUUCUGGUAAUUAUCACUCUAUUGUGAUGUCAAUUAUGUAAACUUCGCCAUGUUGCCUGUUCCUGUUUCACAGUUUCUUGUGGCAAUUUGCAUUUUUAACAGGCUGGGUUAAUAGGAGAUCUGAAUGCAGUUUCAGCUUCAGAACUUGGUGAACUAGAUUAUGACACAAGACUUAACACCUAUGAUAAGGUUAGGCCACAAUUGUUUCUUGGCUUGACAGAAGAGCAUGUGGGCGCCAUAUUAUCUCAUUGUGUGUAUGAUAUGUCAUCUGAAGAAUUAAUUUUGCGGCAAAGUGCAUCUAGGGCUCUGCAGUCGUUCCUGGACUUUUCCGCCUCAGUUAUGAAUAAUGAUGUGUCCAAAUACUCUAUUGAUGAUAAAUUUAGAGAGAAUAAUACCAGAAGCAUUUGCACGAUGGGCUGUAUUCAGAAGAUAUUGGAAAAAACUUAUCUGCACAAUAUGGGAGUAGCAAUGACUAAAGAUGUAUCAAUUCAAAAGGUGCGCAUAUAUAUAUUUUUAUUUUGUAGUCUAUCAAACUGUUGGUUGAAGGGCUGCAAUUGAUGUUGUAUUCAGGAAUGGAUUAUUUUACUUAGGGAGAUGGUCUCCAAUUUUAAUCAUUUAGCAUCCUUAAGCUCAUUUAGGCCUCUCUGUAAGGUGGAUAUAGAAGAGGAUUUUUUCCACAACAUAACUCAUUUACAGGUAAUGUGCUUGGUUCACUUAUACCAAAGGUCAGAUGAUGGACUGUAAAGCUCAUUUAUAUUUACUAAUGCAGGCUGGUAAAAGAUCAAAAGCACUGUUGCUUUUUAGACAGGGAAUCAAGGAAAACAACUUUUCAGAGGUAAAUGAUGAGAGAAUACUCUAGUUGAUGUCAGUAUGAUAUGUGCAUAUUUGGAAAUUAAUUUGCUGACAGUUGAUCAUUUGUUUCAUCUGUUGAAUUGAAAAGAUAAUACUUGUUUUGUGGACCCGUAUGCUAGUACCAGGUUUUUUUCUUUAAAAAAUAGAUACUUUGUCUCUUUGCUUUGUCAAGCUAGUAUGGCUUCGCAAAUGUUUAUAUAAUAUUGCUGAAGGGAUGUGAGCCUAUUUUCCCUUUACCUUAAAGGUCCUAGGAGAUUGGUGUCACAUGCCAGCUUUUCUUUGAAACUGUGCAACAGUGUACUGAUCUUGCAUCACAGGCAACAGAAAUUUGUCUUCUAAGGGCAGUACAAUUCUGUCUUGCAAUACUGUGUUAACAAAGGAAAUCUUAAUAGUUGAUGACUACGGGUGUGUUUGGUUGGAUGUACAUGGUGGAUGGGAGGGGGCGGCCACAGUUUCUAUAGUGUUUGGAUGAGAGUCACGUAGGGGCGAGGUAAACACAAGAGUAGUUUUUGGUGGCGACGUGAUCCCAAAAAAUCGAGGGACGGUGUCGCCCUCGUCUCAUCCACUUUGACCUCAAACCAAACACAUACUACAAGAAUGUUAAUGUGUUAUGGCCAUCUAGUUUGUUAGCACUCAGCAGUCAGCACUUAGAAAAAUGAGAUGUUCAAAGAGUACAUUUUUCUGUAAAGAAAAACACUUGCUGCUACAGUGUAUUUGUUUCCACCAUUGUUUCUUGCAUUUGCAGAAAAUCUACCAGCAAAAUUGAUGGCAUUUUCUUUUUGUUUAGAUGCAUUUUUUACUUUACAUAAAAAGCAUUCUGCACAUAAAUCACAGCUCACCAAUCUUCGUUUCAUGCACCUGUUGCAUAACUAAAUAGUAACUUGUGCAGGUAGUGUCCAGUGAACUGAACUCGUUAUAUUCUCCGGUUUAUUUUUUCAUUAACAUCACUUCUUGUGCUUUCAUUUAGGAUAUCACUAUGAAAGUCUUUGUUCCACUAUUUUUCAAUAUGUUUUCUGACGUAAAAGCUGGGAAUUGUUUCUUGCAUUUGCAGAAAAUCUACCAGCAAAAUUGAUGGCAUUUUCUUUUGUUUAGAUGCAUUUUUUACUUUACAUAAAAAGCAUUCUGCACAUAAAUCACAACUCACCAAUCUUCGUUUCAUGCACCUGUUGCAUAACUAAAUAGUAACUUGUGCAGUAGUGUCCAGUGAACUGAACUCGUUAUCUUCUCCGGUUUAUUUUUUCAUUAACAUCACUUCUUGUGCUUUCAUUUAGGAUAUCACUAUGAAAGUCUUUGUUCCACUAUUUUUCAAUAUGUUUUCUGACGAAAAGCUGGGAAAGGCGAACAAGUCAGAGAUAUAUGUUUGGAUACACUAUCUGCUGUUGCUGCCAAAGUGCAGUGGGAACACUAUAGAACAAUAUUGAAGAGAUGCUUCCGAGAAUUAAACCUUAGACCUGAUAAGCAGAAGAUCAUAUUGAGGCUGAUUUGUUCCAUAUUAGAUGCAUUCCAUUUCAUGAAACCUGCAAAUGAUGCCUCAGGAAAUUCUGAUGCUUUGAGUGAAGAUAUUGAUUCUUCCCUUACAUUCUCUUUGGUCACAGUCUCUUCUGAUAAGCAACAGUACAUGCAAAAGGUAGUGUUUCCACAGGUUCAAAAGUUGUUAGGAUCAGAUCCAGAGAAAGUCAACGUCAACAUAAACCUGGUAGCACUGAAAAUACUUAAGUUGCUACCGGUGGAUUAUUUUGAGUCCCAACUUUCAAGCAUCAUUCAUCGAAUCUGUAACUUCCUCAAGAAUCGUCUUGAAAGCAUACGUGAUGAAGCUAGGUCUGCUUUAGCUGCUUCUGUUAAGGAACUGGGGAUUGGGUAUUUGCAGUUUGUGGUCAAGAUAUUAAGAGCUAUACUUAAAAGAGGUUUUGAGUUACAUGUUCUGGGCUACACACUUCAUUAUUUGUUGUCAAAAAACAUUACUGCUGAUAUGUAUGGUAGGCUUGACUACUGUUUAGAAGAUUUGUUGGCAGUGGUUGACAGUGAUUUACUUGGAGAUGUUGCAGAACAAAAGGAAGUUGAAAAACUUGCCUCCAAAAUGAAAGAGACAAGAAGAGAAUGUCGUUUGAGACUCUUAAGCUGAUUGCUCAAAGUAUUACAUUCAAGACCGAUUUACUGAAGAAGAUAAUCUCACCUGUUUCUUUACAUCUUCAGAAGCAACUUACUCCAAAGUUGAAAACCAGACUUGAGAUGAUGCUACACAACAUAGCCUUAGGGAUUGAGUGCAACUCAUCUACUGAAACAUCAAACUUGUUUAUCUUCGUAUAUUGUCUUAUUGAGGAUACUAUUACAGGAAGCAGAUCUGAAUGCAAAGAGAAUACACAAUCUAGUCCUGAUCAAGACAGUACUGUAAGAAAGACCUUCCUGGGACUAGGUGAGAGUGGAUCACAGAAUUCUUAUAUACUUACCAAGUUUGCACUUGACUUACUUCGUAAUCGUCUGAAGAGCAUCAAGCUUGACAAGGAAGAUGAACAACUCGUGAAGAUGUUGGAUCCUUUUGUUGACCUUCUGCGAAAGUGUAUGAGUUCGAAACAUGCAAGUGUCCUCUCAGCCACAUUUAGAUGUUUUGCCUUGUUGGUGAAACUUCCGUUGCCAUCUCUGAGGGACAAUGCAAUUACUAUAAAAAAUGUACUUAUGGAGAUUUUACAGAGAGCUGGAAACUCCAAUGGUCAUUUAGUCACAUCUUGUUUUAAGCUACUUGCUGAUCUACUUAGAGGAUUCAGGAUUUCACUUUCAGAUAAUGAGCUUCAGAUGCUUGUUCAUACCCCUAUGUUUGUAGAUCUUCAGACAAACCCUUCCCCUGUUGCCUUAUCGCUUCUCAAAACAAUAGUCAGGCUAAAAUUGGUUUCUCACGAAAUUUAUGAUAUAGUUGUUAAGAUAGGAGAGUUGAUGGUAACAACAUUAACUGAAUCUAUACAGCAGCAAUGCAUUCAAAUUAUGCUACAAUUUUUUCUGAACUAUCCACUUUCUGAGAAGCGCUUACAGCAACAUAUUGACUUUUUCCUGGCAAACUUAAGGUAUGAUGAAUAUCCAUAGUUACUUUAUCAUGAUAUCUCACUGUAUGCUAACACUCUGGAAAAUUGCAGUUAUGAACAUCCUUCAGGAAGAGAAGCAGUGCUUGAAAUGCUCCAUGACAUUCUUACCAGAUUUCCCCAGAGGAUUAUUGAUGAGCAGGGUCAAACCUUUUUUCUUCAUCUUGUAGUUGCUCUAGCCAAUGAACAGCAUCAGAAUGUGUCUUCAAUGAUCCUUAGAGCUAUUCAAAAGCUGUUAGGACGCAUUGGUGGUCAGGGAAAGAGUUACAUUUAUGAGUAUUCACUUUCGUGGUACACUGGUGAGAAGAAAAGUUUGUGGAGUGCUUCAGCUCAGGUUACCAUUUAGUAGCUUUGCUAUAUUUUUGCAUAUACUAAAAAAAGAUAUAUUGUACAUCAGCAGUGGACUGGGUUGGUGGUUGCAAUUUGCUUUUGCAUUUGGGUGUUAUUGAAGUACUUACUACUUAGCCCCUUUAUGCUUAUGUUUCAAAGUACUAUUGUCCUUUUACAUCAACUGUUGAAGUGGUUCUUGUGCUUUAUAGGUUAUUGGUUUACUUGUUGGCGAUCACACAUUACAAAUGGGCAAGCACCUUAAAAGUAUUCUGGCUGUUGUUAAGAAAAUAAUGGAAUCAUCUAUUAUUGCUUCUGGAGCUAUACAAUUAGGCUUAUCUGAUGAAGCUGCCCUGCCAUUGUGGAAAGAGACUUACUACUCUGUUGCCAUGAUGGAGAGGUUACUUCUUCGCUUUCCGGAGUUGUAUUUUGAGAAAAACAUGGAGGUAUGAUUACCUUCGUGCACUACUACUAUAUCAAAUUGCAGAUGUAUGUAUUUUGUUUUUUUAUCUAGAUCUUGCCAUGUGAGGGGCAGGCCUGGUGCAGUGGUGAGGGCUGUCUCACUGAGUCGCCAGGUCGUGGGUUUGAAGCAGUCUCCAUACAUUUGCUAGGGCAAGGCUUGUCUUGGUUUAUCCCUUUCUCAAACCCCACUUGCCAUGUCUGCCGUUUAUCUCGAUCUUGCCAUGUGAGAGCCUUUGACACAGAGUCUGUCCCCUAGAUCUUGCCAUGUCUUUUAUGUUGCUUUAUCUCAUGCCUCAGUUGCUUAAACGUAAGGCAAUAGUCAACCGUCACGCCUCGCUUUACUGCUUUGAUAAUGUUGUCAAACAAUCAUAUUCUUUAUCUCCAGCAUUUUUUUUGCUGCCAUGUCUUUUUACCAAUUUAAUGAGAUUUAUACUAGUUGACUCAAGUAUUCAAGGCACUUGUUGACCAUUUACUUAAGUAUUGGGGCCUCAGAUUUAUUUGUUCUUAAACAUAGUAUUUGUUUCAAGCCUUGAACUGGUCAUGUCGGUUGCAACAUCAAGUUUAUGACACCAAUUGUAAUUUGCAGGACAUAUGGAUAAUAUUAUGCAAGUUGUUGAUCCAUCCUCAUUCGAUGUUGCGUAGUAUUUCAAGCUCUCUGGUAGCAUCAUAUUUUGCUACAGUGGAGAAGAGGAAACAUGAACAGAAAUUGGAUGCCCCAUCAUGGUUGCUUGUUCAACCGAGCAGGCUAUUCAUAAUAGCUGUUUCCUUGUUGAAACAAUUGAGGAGUGAGCUGAGUGAUACUACGGCAAAUAAUCUGAUUGUACAGAAUGUUGCAUACUCAGUCUGCAACUUGCAUAUGUUGAUUAGGCAAUCGACCUCCACACAUCAGUUUUGGUCUAGCAUUAGUUCUGAUCGUGGUGCUUUCCUUGAGGGUUUUGAAUUGCUUGGUUCAAGAAAAGCAAAAAAUAUAUUUCUCCUUUGUACUUCAACAUCUAGUGAUGUAUCUGGAUCUAGCCUCGACACCAACGAAGAGCCUACAUCUUUGUUAGUUUCGUCAAUCCUAAAGAAGAUGGGAAGAAUUGCAAUGCAAAUGCAGGAUACACAGGUAAGCUCCAUUACAUCAGCCAAGUCAUUCCCUUGUAUGUUUCUCAGGAUGGUGGCUUGCAAUUCAUAUGUAUUACUUAUUUUUCAUCCAUAUGCAGAUAAAGAACGUGUUCAAUUGCUUCAAUAUGAUUUCAUCAGCUCUUGGUCCUGAUGAAUCACUAACCUAUGCUGAUCACCUCUUGGCCCCAUUGUAUAAAGUUUCUGAAGGAUUUGCUGGGAAAGUUGUUAGUG
rnacentral:lncRNA from 1 species